AUCCACGGCCAUACCUCUCUGAACACAGUCAGUGUCAUCUGAUCUUGGAAGCUAAGCAUGGUCAGGCCUAGUUAGCACCUGGACAGGAGAAGUUUAUAGGCCUGGUGUUAGAGUUUAGCCAAGUGGAAA
rnacentral:rRNA from 1 species